UACGUAGGGUGCAAGCGUUGUCCGGAAUUAUUGGGCGUAAAGAGCUCGUAGGCGGUCUGUCGCGUCUGCUGUGAAAACUCAGGGCUUAACCCUGAGCUUGCAGUGGGUACGGGCAGACUAGAGUGCGGUAGGGGAGACUGGAAUUCCUGGUGUAGCGGUGAAAUGCGCAGAUAUCAGGAGGAACACCGGUGGCGAAGGCGGGGUCUCUGGGCCGUAACUGACGCUGGAGGAGCGAAAGCCAUGGGGGAGCGAAACAGGG
rnacentral:rRNA from 1 species